rnacentral:rRNA from 1 species
GACGAACGCUGGCGGCGUGCCUAAUACAUGCAAGUUGAGCGCUGAAGGUUGGUACUUGUCCCAACUGGAUGAGCAGCGAACGGGUGAGUAACGCGUGGGGAAUCUGCCUUUGAGCGGGGGACAACAUUUGGAAACGAAUGCUAAUACCGCAAAAAAACUUUAAACACAAGUUUUAAGUUUGAAAGAUGCAAUUGCAUCACUCAAAGAUGAUCCCGCGUUGUAUUAGCUAGUUGGUGAGGUAAAGGCUCACCAAGGCGAUGAUACAUAGCCGACCUGAGAGGGUGAUCGGCCACAUUGGGACUGAGACACGGCCCAAACUCCUACGGGAGGCAGCAGUAGGGAAUCUUCGGCAAUGGACGAAAGUCUGACCGAGCAACGCCGCGUGAGUGAAGAAGGUUUUCGGAUCGUAAAACUCUGUUGGUAGAGAAGAACGUUGGCGAGAGUGGAAAGCUCAUCAAGUGACGGUAACUACCCAGAAAGGGACGGCUAACUACGUG